AGAGGGUGCAAGCGUUAAUCGGAAUUACUGGGCGUAAAGCGCACGCAGGCGGUUUGUUAAGUCAGAUGUGAAAUCCCCGGGCUCAACCUGGGAACUGCAUUUGAAACUGGCAAGCUAGAGUCUCGUAGAGGGGGGUAGAAUUCCAGGUGUAGCGGUGAAAUGCGUAGAGAUCUGGAGGAAUACCGGUGGCCAAGGCGGCCCCCUGGACGAAGACUGACGCUCAAGGUGCGAAAGCGUGGGGAGCAAACAGGAUUAGAUACCCUGGUAGUCAUG
rnacentral:rRNA from 1 species